UACGUAGGGUGCGAGCGUUAAUCGGAAUUACUGGGCGUAAAGCGUGCGCAGGCGGUUUUGUAAGUCUGACGUGAAAUCCCCCGGGCUUAACCUGGGAAUUGCGUUGGAGACUGCAAGGCUGGAGUCUGGCAGAGGGGGGUAGAAUUCCACGUGUAGCAGUGAAAUGCGUAGAGAUGUGGAGGAACACCGAUGGCGAAGGCAGCCCCCUGGGUCAAGACUGACGCUCAUGCACGAAAGCGUGGGGAGCAAACAGG
rnacentral:rRNA from 1 species